GGGCGUGUAGCUCAGUUGGGAGAGCGCUAGAAUCGCACUCUAGAGGUCGGGGGUUCGACUCCCCUCACGUCCACCA
rnacentral:tRNA from 1 species